CCUGAUGGAGGGGGAUAACUACUGGAAACGGUAGCUAAUCCCGCAUAACGUCGCAAGACCAAAGAGGGGGACCUUCGGGCCUCUUGCCAUCAGACGUGCCCAGAUGGGAUUAGCUAGUAGGUGGGGUAACGGCUCACCUAGGCGACGAUCCCUAGCUGGUCUGAGAGGAUGACCAGCCACACUGGAACUGAGACACGGUCCAGACUCCUACGGGAGGCAGCAGUGGGGAAUAUUGCACAAUGGGCGAAAGCCUGAUGCAGCCAUGCCGCGUGUAUGAAGAAGGCCUUCGGGUUGUAAAGUACUUUCAGCGGGGAGGAAGGCGAUAAGGUUAAUAACCUUGUCGAUUGACGUUACCCGCAGAAGAAGCACCGGCUAACUCUGUGCCAGCAGCCGCGGUAAU
rnacentral:rRNA from 1 species